rnacentral:sRNA from 1 species
GCACCCUCAAGAGUGUGGGAGUUCAGUGUUCUGCUGAAUCAGCAGGUCUUCAAUGAUCCUCUCAUCUCUGAAGAAGACAUGGUGACUGUGGUGGAGGACUGGAUGAACUUCUACAUCAACUAUUACAGGCAGCAGGUGACAGGGGAGCCCCAAGAGCGAGACAAGGCUCUGCAGGAGCUUCGACAAGAGCUGAACACUCUGGCCAACCCUUUCCUGGCCAAGUACAGGGACUUCCUGAAGUCUCAUGAGCUCCCGAGUCACCCACUGCCCUCCUCCUAGCUCAGGGACCCAGACCCUCCUCUCUGAGAAACUCUGACCUUCAUGUCCUCAGGCUGUGCUCCUGCCACUCUACCCUGACACCUCAAUAAAGACCAGUACUGGUUUUGUUGGA